rnacentral:rRNA from 1 species
CCCCCGAUUUAUCGGGGGAGCGGCGAACGGCUGAGUAACGCGUAGGAACUUUCCCUUAAGUCAAGGAUAGCUACUCGAAAGGGUAAUUAAUCCUGGAUGUGAUCUUCGGAUUAAAGGCUUCGGCCGCUUAAGGAUAGGCCUGCGUCCUAUCAGGUUGUUGGUGAGGUAAAGGCUCACCAAGCCUAUGACGGGUAGCUGGUCUGAGAGGAUGACUAGCCAGAAUGGGACUGAGACACGGCCCAU